rnacentral:rRNA from 1 species
AGAGUUUGAUCAUGGCUCAGGACGAACGCUGGCGGCGUGCCUAAUGCAUGCAAGUCGCACGCACGUCUUUUCGGAGACGUGAGUGGCGCACGGCUGAGGACCACGUGGGAACAUGCCGUCGAGUGGGGGACAACAGCGCGAAAGCGGUGCUAAUCCCGCAUACGCUCGCAAGAGGAAAGCAGCAAUGCGCUCGACGAGUGGCCCGCGGCCCAUCAGGUCGUCGGUGGGGUAACGGCCUACCGAGCCAAUGACGGGUAGCUGGUCUGUGAGGACAGACAGCCAGACUGGGACUGAGACACGGCCCAGACUCCUACGGGAGGCAGCAGCAAGGAAUUUUCGUCAAUGGGCGCAAGCCUGAACGAGCAACGCCGCGUGGAGGAUGACGGCCUUCGGGUUGUAAACUCCUUUUUCGGGGGACGAUGAUGACGGUACCCCGGGAAUAAGGCUCGGCUAACUCUGUGCCAGCCGCCGCGGUAAUAC